rnacentral:rRNA from 1 species
CAAUAACGUAUAUUAAAGUUGUUGCAGUUAAAAAGCUCGUAGUUGAAUUUUUGCUUGCCGCCGAUGUCGGAACUUCCGUACGUUCGGCGGCGUGCAUCCUUGGGUGGAACCUGUGUGGCAUUAGGUUGUCGUGCAGGGGAUGCUCAUCGUUUACUGUGAAAAAAUUAGAGUGUUCAAAGCAGGCUUACGCCGUUGAAUAUAUUAGCAUGGAAUAAUAAGAUAGGACCUUGGUACUAUUUUGUUGGUUUGCGCACCGAGGUAAUGAUUAACAGGGACAGUUGGGGGUAUUCGUAUUCCAUUGUCAGAGGUGAAAUUCUUGGAUUUCUGGAAGACGAACUACUGCGAAAGCAUUUACCAAGGAUGUUUUCAUUAA